rnacentral:rRNA from 1 species
UACGGGGGGUGCGAGCGUUGUCCGGAAUCACUGGGCGUAAAGGGCGCGUAGGUGGUCUUGUAAGUCUGUGGUGAAAGCCCGGGGCUCAACCCCGGGUCUGCCGCGGAUACUGCGAGACUUGAGUGCUGUAGAGGCUGGUAGAAUGCCGGGUGUAGCGGUGAAAUGCGCAGAUAUCAGGAAGAACACCCGUGGCGAAGGCGGCUUUCUGGGACGGUACUGACGCUGAGACGCGAAAGCGUGGGGAGCGAACAGG